rnacentral:rRNA from 1 species
GACGAACGCUGGCGGCGUGCUUAACACAUGCAAGUCGAACGGAAAGGCCCUGCUUUUGUGGGGUGCUCGAGUGGCGAACGGGUGAGUAACACGUGAGUAACCUGCCCUUGACUGUGGGAUAACAUCAGGAAACUGGGGCUAAUACCGGAUAUGAGCUCCUGCUGCAUGGGGGGGGUUGGAAAGUUUCGGCGGUUGGGGAUGGACUCGCGGCUUAUCAGCUUGUUGGUGGGGUAGUGGCUUACCAAGGCUUUGACGGGUAGCCGGCCUGAGAGGGUGACCGGCCACAUUGGGACUGAGAUAGGGCCCAGACUGAUACGGGAGGCAGCAGUGGGGAAUAUUGCACGAUGGGCGGAAGCCUGAUGCAGCAAUGCCGGGAGCGGGAUGACGGUCUUCGGGUUGUAAACCGCUUUCGACUGUGACGAAGAGUGAGUGACGGUAAUGGGUAAAGAAGCACCGGCUAACUACGUG